CAUAUCAUGUUGAACAACUGGUUUUCAUAUCACUGAAGUUAAGCAACAUUGAGCUCAGUCAGUACCUAGAUGGGUGACCACUUGUGAAUACCAGGUACUGUAAG